CUGUGCAUUUGGAUUGAACUCCUCAAAUUAGCAAUUCAAUAACGUGGUGGCUCAUCAAAAGCUCGUUGGACGUGACAUUUGAGCGUCUAAGAAUUCGUGACCAUGUUCGGGAGGUCAUCGAAUAGGGAGAAACAUGGACCGUGGCAAUAUAGAAUUAUGGAUAUGAAAGGACGACGUCGUCUUUAUCCAUAUUCCUCCUUAUCCUAUCCACAAACUCCUCCUAAUCCCCUUCGUGUUAGCGUCCGCGGAGACAAGUUAUCCUAAUCCUCCUCAUAAAGGCGAAGGCGAGGCGAGGCGAUAUAAGAAAGAACAUGGACCGCUCCCUCGAUGCCUGCCUUGCGGUAUAUAUGCUUGCAAUCUAACCUCAAAGCGUUGCACAUCAGCGGAUAUGGGUGAAGGUGAUCUUUGUGAAUCUUCGUCGUCCCAUGGCGAGUCUGGUGAUUCGAAGCUCUCCUGGUCUUCUUCGGAGCUUACGGACGAUGCAACUUCCUCGUCUCCUCGCUCGUCGUCGACCGCAUCGCAGCCAGAUUCGAAUGGAUCUCUUUUCGACUUGUCGUCGCUCAUGGCCCAACUCCCAAUCAAAAGAGGGCUCUCCAAGUACUAUCAGGGGAAGUCCCAGUCAUUUCGAUCCCUAUCAGAUGUUAGAUGCAUAGAGGAUCUUGCAAAGGAAGAGAACCCCAACAGGAAGAAGAUGAAGGUAUGCCACGGCAUCGGCGGACUCGGUGCAACACCGAGGCUCUAUAAGAAAACAACAUCAAGGAGGGUUUCCAGGGGUUCAUGUCCCUCUUUACCGGCGAGAAGGAACAGUAGUCCUUUGCGGAGCAGGAAGCCGCUAGAUUUACCUCCGGCGAAAGUGCACCGGGCCAAUGAUGUCUUGUGUCAGUGGGAGGAAAGCAAGGAGCAGUUGGCUCUACUAUAACAAGACAACAUGGAAGUGUACUGACAUCAAAGGGGUACUACAAUCCUUUUCCAACUUCGAUAGAAUUUACAACAUUAAGUUAAAUGAGAGUGAUACCAAUAAGAUGCACUAAUAUCCCAACCAUUUUAAGUCCUACCAUACGAAUCUUUUUCUAGCCACUGAAACCGCGUUGCGUCUUAAUUUGAUUCACCUCAUCUAACUACUGCAUAGGUAGUGUUCAAAAAGCAAAAGGAUUGUCCUCUGCUCUUUGUUCCAUGAAAGAAAUUAUUUCCUCUUUUGAGUAGGUAGGACUGUAGUUGUGUGUGCCAAGGAAAUGGAAGAGCAUGAAUGCCAACAUUUUUGCUAGGAUUUGUGCCUAAAACAUCUACAGUGUACUUGGUGCAACUCUAAUAAUCAAAACUGCAGUUUAGACA